UUGUAUUAGAAUCAUGCAACUAAACUAUAAAAGAACUAUAAAAGAAUUGCUAUAUAAUAAAAAAAAAAAAAAAGUAGUGAACUUGAGAAAAUAAAUAAAUAAUAAAAAAUCAACACUAAAUUAGAAUAAGAAUCAAGCAUUAAUUUAAAUCAAAAGAGCAAAAAAAAAUGAGUAAAUAAAUGUAUUCAAGCUAAAAACUAAAUAACUAAAAACUAAAUAACCUAGCCUCCCCCACCGACCAUACGCAGGUGAUUCAAGAUAAGUGCCAAAUUGUCAUGGUGAAUGUCACAAGAAUCAGCAAUAGUGUUAAAGUUUUGACACAUAAAGUGAAUAGGACUCUGGUACAGAAUGUUGGACCUGGCUGUGUCCAAGUUAAAAGCUGGACACUGUCUGGAUCCUGGGCGUGGUAUAUGAAAGCAAAUCCUUUGCAAAAGGGAUGGGCAGUCAAUUUUAUGGUUAAGUAAAUUAAACAAGAAUUUCACCGAAUGCAUUUCUCUCUCUUUACUCUUUACUAUUUCUCUCUCUACUUUAAGUAAACAGAGCAGAGCUUUUUUAAAACAUACUGCCGAAAAUUCAUUCCGACUGCUUCAAUAUUUUUUAGGUGUUCCAGUAGAUUAGAUCUGCAUAAUUGUGCACACCUAAAAAAUAUUAUAUCAAUAUUGCAUCAAUAUUAUUAACAAACAAUGCUUGUUUCUGUAAAAUGAAAAGAAGAGUGAUAUGUAGAAAUAAUGAAUGCAUUGAUGGAAAAACUUAAUUUUGGAAAAAUCAUUAGUUAACCAGGUGUAUGCUUUGGAUGGUAGAAUGUGAAGAUCUAUUGAUACCCCAGACUGAUAAACAUUCAUAUUUACACUCAUAAAGGCAUUUCUUCUGAGUGCAACCUUUAUGGUCUGCUGGAUGCCAAAUCCAAGUAAUGUAUCAUCACAUAGCUUCAGCUCAAUUGGUUCAAUUGUGCCAAAAUACAUAUUAAAUAGCCUGAAGGAGAUCAACACAUUGCAAAAGUUCAUGAAAUAAUUUGACGUACUAUAUAUAAUAAUUUGGCGUUAGUUGCUCAAUUUUUCUUGAAUGUGCAUUUGCAAGAAAAUUCAUUAGUUUUGCUCUAAUUGAUUUAACAUUUUUGAAAAGUUACUUCUAAAAGGCCAGCUUAAUUAUGAAUAAUUGUUGUGGUCCUAUCCAGUCACAUAUUUUUACCUCAGUGAGGCAAAAGCAACGUUGCCACAUACAAUAAUAAGAAUCGAUGGCAAUUUACACUUCAUAGCACUCGAUUAGGUGUAAAUUUGAACGUAAUUUGUCAUGUAUGAAAGCGAUGAAUUCCCAAUAAGGUUCUGUUUGGUUUUUAUAUUUUCGCGGCCGUGAGAAUUAAUAAUUGUCGUCCUCGUCGUUGCGAAAUCGAAUUUAAAAGCACUUUACGGGAAAAGUUGCCCUCAGCGAUCAUCAUCAUCAUAGUAAUAAUAACGUAACUUUAUUAGCUGACGAAGAUCGGUCGGCAAUUAGUCAGCGACCGGGUGUCGCUGACGCUGCUGACUAUAUCGAUUUAUUUCGGCCCUCUUCGCUUCUUUAGCGCGAUGUGUGUGUAUGUGAAACCGAGAAAUGAGGCCGAGUGGCAGGAAUACGAUGCGAAAAUAAAUUAAUUUGAAAAACUUCUAAUAAAUACCUUUUUUUUUAAUCACCCUGUAUAAUAUAAUGUAUUGUAUAUAUUUUUAAAUAGGACGCUGUUUGCUCAUUAAGGACUUGGAUUUGGAAAAGCCCAAACGGUCUGACAAAAAAUAAGAUCUUGACUUUGUAAUAACCGACAAUAAACAUAUCGUCAAAGAUGUAUCAGUAUACUAAAUAGAUUUACCACAGGCAGUGACCACACUAUGGUAAGAGAAACGUUUGUCUCAAUUUAAAAGAGGAGCGUCGCAAAAUGGUCAAGACGUUAGAUAAAAAGACCUUGGCAUCCGCCGAUUAAUUGUUAUAAAUUCCAAUAAUGCAUUUACGACCUAUUAAAAGAACUUGAAGAAUGAAUGAAGAGUUAAAGAUAGACACCUUUAAUAACAGUAAAGGCCCAGACAACAAGCAAACUGGAGAACUAAUAAUGCAAGAAAGAAAAAACAAAAGAGGAAGAUCUAAGGGAAAUAAACAGUCAAAUCUCCAAAGAAAUAAGGAAACACAAGAAGGUAGAAAGUGAGAGAAAUUCAACGACCAUAGAAAACAACAAAAGCAUUAAGGUACUCCAAAAAAAUUACGAACGGAAGGAAAGAAAUAUGCAAAAUGAGCAACACAUAUGGAGUAUUAACUUACGACCAAUAGAAAGGAAAUAUUAAAUAUAGCAGAGGAAUUUUAGAAAAUCCUGACAUUUGGAUGGCGUUGUCAUUCUAAUAUUACCAUAGAGGAAAUAGAAUUAGUAUUAAAAAACACAAAAAAUAAAGCGCCAGGGAAAGAUAACAUAAUUACAGAUGUAAUAAAAAUAGGAGGCCAACAUCUACUGCUAAAAACUGCUUCUUUAACAUACAACAGCUUGUCCACAAUAUAGAGAGAAGGUAGUGUGAGUAUUCUGAGAAUUCUAAAUGUAGCCAUACAGUCAUCCCUAUAACAUUUCUCUGAUACCUCCCAGUUAGGUAGAAUUCUAGAGCUUGGAUAGAAAGAUAGUAGAAUUUCAUUAAAAUUAUAAAACUUAAAAUGGUUGUGUUGUCCCUGUUCAUCCUGAACUCAAAUUAACUGUUGUUAAAGAACCCAUUGGUGCAUACAAUUAAAAAAUAAGAUAACAUGAAACAUCAAACUAGAAAACUAUUACUGAAAAGAAUCAUCAAACUUCUCAAGGCUAUAAUAUGUUUUAGAAAUAUAGAAUAAUUCUGAUGGAGAGUUUGGACGAAGAGUCAAGAUAUGGUUUUCAAAUUUUCAAAUAGUGGAGGAAUUGUAGAAAAUCCUGACAUCACACAAAAAACAAAGCGCCAGGGAAAGAGAACAUAAUUACAGAUGCAAUAAAAAUAGGAGGCCAACAUCUACUCCUAAAAACUGCUUCUUUAACAUACAACAGGUUCUCCAGAAUAUAGAGAGAAGGUUGUGUGAGUAUUCCAAGAGUUCUAAAUGUAGCUUUACAGUCAUCCCUAUAACAUUUCUCUGAUACCUUUCAGUUAGGUAGGAUUCCAGAGCUUGGAUAGUAAGAUAGUGGAAUUUGAUUAAAAUUAUAGAACUUAAGAUGAUUACACAGUCAAAAGCUUUGCUGAGUUUACAAAACAGAACUGUAUUAUAGCAUUGCUCACAUAAAUAUUGCAUAGUAUUAACUAUUAUAUUAAGUAUACCCUGUGUCAUGUCCCUGUUCUUCCUGAACCCAAAUUAACUCUUGUUUAAUAACCCACUGGUAGGUAUAAUACAAAAAAAAAUAUUUAAAAUACUCAAGAUAACAUAAAACACAAAACUAGAAAACUAUUACUGAAAACAAUCGUUAAAAAAACUUCUCAAGGCUAUAAUAUGCUUUAGGCAACAUUAGAUUGUUUCGGAACUUUAUGAACAUUUUCAUGCAUAUUGAACAUUUUCUAGAAUUAUAAAAGAAUUCUGAUGGAGAGAGGGACAUGCUUAUAAAUCUUGUGUCUUAUAUAAAUAAGAGAGUUUUUAGUAAGGGAUGAUGUUGGUAUGGGCAAAGAAAAAUCAUGGAAUCAUCGAGUAACAUGUCCAGUAUUUGAUGGUGGUCUAUCAGAUUUAAGGAUGAGUGCCACUGUCUCCAAUAUAAAUAGUGAGUGAACAGUUAAAAUUUGCUCUGAAAUAAAGAGUGGUCUGCAGGAACUCCUUAAACCAACAGAAGAAAGAUAUCUUGUAGCUUUUUUCUGAAUCAGGUCAAAAAUAUUCAGUAUUUCUUUUGUAAACAAACCCCAAAACUCAAGCAGUGCAAAAUACAUUUAGUAUGCAACCACCUUUCCCAUCAGUUCCUGCAUUGCCACUUUAACAUCCUGAAAAUAGUUUGGAUGAAGAGUCAAGAUAUGGUUUUCAAAUUUUAGAUUUCUUUCAAUAUCAAGACCUAAAAAAUUAAGUCAGCAAAUAAAAGACCAUGAACAAGAACUUGAAACAAGACCCUUGUCCACAACACCAGACUGUUAGAUGUACGCCACUCCCGAAUCUUACGAAGAUCCUUAACAAUGAUAGAUCUAAGGUCUGAUCUUUGAUCUAAGAUCUGAUCUUUGUGGUACUAAAGAAGCGUAGUAUCAUUCACAAUUUGAAGAAUCAGACUCAAAGAGAGAGCUUAAUUCACUCAAAGCCUAAGUAACUGCCAACAUAAAGGGGUUAAAGAAAAAGGCCUGGGAUUAAAUGAAUCACUUCACUUCUCCUUUUUAUACACUAUAAUUUACACUAUUUACACGGACUUUAUACACAUUAUAUACAACAGGAUUCCUAUUGGGGAAGAGCCUAAACCUAAGGUGCGUAACCUAUGGUUAUUUAAUUAUUUAAAUUUAUAAAAAAUAUAGAGGACAAAGAACGAAUCUUUUACACGUUGACAUCAUGAGAUUAUCGUCUCAAGUGUCAGUGGUAGCAGGUGGCGCAACUGACAGGCUGUACAUAUUAGCGCUGUGUUGCCACACUUACUCCUUUUAUAAAACUUGAUAUUAACAAAUAAUUGUUGGAUUAUGUUUCCAACACUUUUGUCAGGGCUUGGUGUUGAAUCUCUGUGUAUACAUUGAAUGCUCACAAUUUUUUUUUGUGGAAGCUUGUUAAUAACAAAAUAGAGAGCCCAAUUCUUCUAGCACAACUAUCUUUUCACAUCCCUUGAGUGAAGGCCAGACACAAGCCAUGAUUUGUUCUUGAUCCAAUAUUCUUUAGAAUGUAUAAAAACAUUAAUUAUGUUGUUAUGGAUUCCAAUAUACAUUGUUGCCAUUUAUUAUAGAAUUUUGCUAGAUGUAGAGACUUACUCUUCUUGAAUAUGAUUCAUUAAGUAAUAAUUUAAUUCUCAAUUUAUUCAUACUGAUCUGUCUAAUGGUGUUGACUAGCAGUGAAUUCUAUUAAAUAAAGAGCUCAAUUGUGUUAUUGCUUUUUUUUGUGUUUUAUAUUAUGAUUAUUAUUAUUAUUUUUAUUGUCCCUUUAAUUUUAAUUAAUUAAUUAAUUCAUGUUGUUUAUCAAUUUUUUUGAGAUUUUUUUCUGUAAUUCAAUAACGUCUGGUGGAACAAAUACUAUUAUUAAACGAGUUUUCGUAUUGUGUGUUGUAGUUUAAUACUCACAAGAAAUUUGUACUUGGAUUGUUGGGGAAGUCUCUUUACCUUAUAUUUAGGUUAAAAGUGUCUUAUAGUUCACAGAAAAUAUUUGAGUAUAAUAUCAUAGGAAAAUUUUUGCCAGAGAGCUCUAAUGUCGUAGUCAGAACAUAAUUAUUAUACAUCAGCGCAACACAGUUUUUGAGUAAAUCAAUGUACUGUUCUUUUCAUAACUGAUUUGCAUAUCAGCAGUAUUUGUUAGACGCUUUUGAGAACCAUAGUUAAUGGACCGUAUUUACACUAAUUUCUCGAAAUCGUUUGACAGAGUGAAACAUGUACAUCUUAUUUAUCAAUUGCGUGCGAUAGGCCUGAGCGAUGGUCUUUGAAAGUGGAUUGAUUUAUAGCAUAAUUUCUGAAGAAAUUAAAGUCUUCAGGUGUACCUUAGGGCUCCCACACAGGACCUAUUUUAUUUAUUCUAUUUAUUAAUGAUCUUUGUUGUGUUGUCCGUCACUCGGAAGUUUUAUUAUUUGCAGACGACGUAAAAUCAUACAAAGUAAUGAAAUUCGCAAUUGCUGCGCAACUUUUACAAGCUAAAGUUGAUAGUGCUUUUUUAUGGUUAGUAAGUAAUGGUCUGGAGCUUAAUAUUCAAAAAUCCGAAAGUUUUUGUUUUGGUUGGUUGUAUAUUGCACUAUAAAGGACUUAGUUCUCAGAUCUGCUACUACUGUUAGAGACUUGGUGUUAUUGGACAGUAAAUUGACAUUUGGGUCUCAUGAUGAGAUUGUCUAUAUAUAUGUGUUCAUUCUGGACUUGAAUACGCCUUGCCUGUAUGAUCACCUUUUUAUUCUACUAUGUGGCAAUAAUUGAAACCAAAAAGCAUUUAUUAAUUUCCUAGCAUUCAAGGCUGGCAUUGAAAUUUACCAGAAUUUUCAUAUUAAUUAUAAGAUAAUAAAGGAUAUUUUUAACAUCGGUAGUCUAACACCGAGAGGGACUCGUUCAAAUUUACUCACAAUGUAUAAAAUAUUAAAUGUAAUUUUUUAUUGCCCAUAUUUUGAAAAAUAUACAAUUCAAAAUCAAUAAUAAAUGUCGGAAUCCUGCCAUGUUUCGCUUGCCUUUCCAUCAUGCGAAUUUCGGUCUCUUUUGUCCAAUCACCAGAAUGAUGAGAGCAUUUAAUGGGCUUAACCUUGCCCCUUCCUGGCUAAUUCUGUUAAUGCAUUUAAAUUAAGUCUUAAGGAACUAAAGUGAUGAAAUUGUGCAUAGGGUUAUGUUUUACGUUUUGUAUUUUUUGCUCCUUUAUCUUUGCUAUUGCUUUGUUCAUUUUCAUAUUAUUGAUUAUUUUUAUAUUCUUUGAAACUUCUUGGUUAUUGUUAUUAGUAUGUAUUUUAAUUUAUUCUUGUAAAUUGGCUUUUUAAUAUUGAAAUAAAUAAAAUAAAUUAAAAAAAAUCAGGUGUAGUAAAGAAACUUGCUUAGAUCUUGAUUUAUCAUAGUUGAGACUGUAAUAAUCCUACAAAAUGUUCCUUAAAAAUAUUAUAAAAAAAGGCUUAAAGCCAAGAUAUCCCUUUGUUCAUCCUGUAACUAAAAUGAAAGAACAAUUCCAAUAGUAAAUCGUAGCGUCAAUCUCAGUGUAAUCAGAAGUGAGAUA